rnacentral:pre_miRNA from 13 species
GGUGGGAGAGAGCUUCCUUCAGCCCACUCAUGGAUAGGAGAAAGGGGUUGAAUUAGCUGCCGACUCAUUCAUUCAAGCACCAGUAGAAAAAGGGGAAUGGAUAUUCUUUUGCUACUGUGAUUGUGUGAAUGAUGCGGGAGAUAAUUUUACAUCCCCUCUUUUUCUGUGCUUGGACUGAAGGGAGCUCCUUCC